rnacentral:tRNA from 1 species
CGGGGUGUAGCUCAGUCUGGUUAGAGCGCUGCUUUCGGGAGGCAGAAGUCGGAAGUUCAAAUCCUCUCACCCCGA